AUCUGGUGGAUCCUGCCAGUAGCAUAUGUUUGGCUCAUUAAAUCAGUUAUGGUUUCUUUGAUAGCUCAAUCUCUUCCUCGGAUAACUGUGGUAAUACUAGAGCUAAUACAAGCCGAUGAUCGAUGGCCUCCUGUGAUACAUUUAUCAGACGAAGACCAAUCCUGGGUGGCCCAGCUGAUUUGGUGACUCUAGAGAACCUUGGGGUGAUUGCACGUCCCUGUGACGGCAAUGAUACAUUCGGAUGUCUGCUAUAUCAACUUUUAAUGGUACUUUCUCUGCCUUAUUUUAUGUAUUUAUUUAUUUAUUGGAUUUGUAGAGCGCACUACAGCCCACAGGCAUCGAGGCGCUAUACUGGUGACCAUAGGUAACAGAGAAGCAGGGUUCGAUUCCAGAGGGGGAGCCUGAGAAACGGCUACCACCUCCAAGGAAGGCAGCAGGCGCGCAAAUUACCCACUCCCGACUCGGGCAGGUAGUGAUGAAAAAUAACAAUACAGCACUCUUUCAAGGCCCAGUAAUAGAAAUUAGUGCACUUUAAAUCCUUUAAUGAGGAUCCAAUGGAAGGCAAGUCUGGUGUCAGCAGCCAUGGUAAUUCCAGCUACAAUAGCAUAUAUAUUAAAGAUGCUGCUGUUUAAGAGCUUGAAAUUGGAGCUUGGGAUUGAGCUGACAGUCCUUUCAUGAGGCAAGACGCCACCUGUCCCAGCCUCUGACUCCUGGUGCACCUUUGAUGCUCUUGGCUGAGUGUCCUGGGGGGCCGAAGCGUUUACAUUGUAAAAAGUAAAGUGUUCAAAGUGGGCGGGUCGCCAGAUUACAUCAGCUAGGAAUAAUGAAUAGGGCUACGAUUCUAUUUUGUUGGUUUUCUAAACUGGGACCAUGAUUAAGAGGGAUGGUGAAGGGAAUUCCUAUUGUGCUGCUGGAGGUGAAAUUCAUGACAGGCACAAAACAAAACAAAGUGAAAGCAUUUGCUAAAACAUUUUCAUUAAUCAAGAAUGAAACUUGGAGGUUCGAAGAUGAUCAGAUACUGUCGUAAUUCUAACCAUAAAUGAUACCGACUUUCGUUCUGGCAGAGUUAUUCCCAUGAUCCGCCGAGGAGCUUCCGGGAAACCAAGGUCUUCCGGUUCUGGGGGGAGUAUGGUUGCAAAGCUGAAACAUAAAGGAAUUGAUGGAAGGGCACCACCAGGAGUAGAGCCUGAAGCUUAAUUUGACGCAACAUGGAAAACCUCACCUAGCCUGAACACGGUAAGGAUUGACAGAUUGAGAGCUCUUUCUCGAUUAUGUGGGUGGUGGUGGCAUGGCUGUUCUUAGUUGGUGGAGCGAUUGGUCUGGUUAAUUCCGAUAACAAAUGAGACUCCUCCAUAAACUAGUUACGUGACCCCCAGCGGUCGUGUUCAACCUCUUAGAGAUCAAGCAAUAACAGGUAUGUGAUGACCUUAGAUGUCUGGUGCUGCAUGCACACUGCAAUUGGUUUAACCAAUUUGAUUGACAUUUUUUUUCCAGAUGGGAGAUUUGAUCGAAGAGUUUAUUGAAUACGAACAUUACGAUCAAAUCACCAUUCGAACAGCAUUAUAGUGAACAAGGGGAGUGGAGGCGUCGCCCGCCCCCUUUUUCAAUACAAUGUCAGCGGGUGUUGCAGGAGUUACCCCCCGAACGCUUAAAGAUUUAAACAAAAAAAAGGAAAGACCUCUAUCGCCGGUUCCCGAACAGGUAUUGCAAGGACACAGCGAGUCGGCAGUGCAGAGUGCAGUGU
rnacentral:rRNA from 1 species